CCCAGAAGAUAAAAGCUCCUAGGAGUUACUGUGUCGUGUUUGGAUACUUGAAAGAAAAUGACACUUUGGAGCCUUAAAAAGUGGACUUUCCUUCUGAAGUACCCAGGAGAGUAGGUACAGAAGAUAUCAAGAUAUAUAAUUCCAGUUUUAAGGAGCUGACACGUUCAUAGCAGCACUACUUACAGUAGACAAAAAGGUGAAUAUGGCCCAAAUUCCAUCAACAGAAGAAUGAAUAAACAAAGUGUGGCAUAUCCAUACAAUGGGACUUUAUUCAGCCAUAGAAAGGAAUAAGGUGGAUACAUAUGCUACACAGCAUGGAUGAACCUUGAAAAUUUUAAGUGAAGGAAGCCAGACACAAAAGGAUAGACUUCUUCUUAUCUCCCUACACUACCCCUUGGAGAAAACCUUUUAUCAAGGAGAUACUGAAUAUCAUCACUGAUGUAAGCACUGCAACUAAAAUAGGUUG